UUUGUUUGCACACCCUCACUGAAACAAAAGAACUAAACCGAGUAACUGACAGAGGAAAUUUAGUGUGGAUAAUUCUGGUGAAUUUUUGAAAAAAUGAUCUCCUCCCUCUGCAUCACCACCAUGGACUAUUCAUUCUCUUACCCCAGCUUUCAACCUGUCACAGAAAGCAUAAUGUCUGUGAUGCAUGAACUGAAGACAAAGAACAUUGCAGACAUGAACCUUCUGUCCAACUUGGACUUUGCUGAGAGAUUCUUUAGAAACCAUCCUCUAAAACUGUACUCAAAAUUAUUAGUCAAAGGAAAUUACUCUUGUGUACAAAUGGGUCGGAAUAACAACAUAGUUGUUACUGUAACUUCAGAAAACAAUCAAACCUAUGUCAAUAUCUGUAUCCAUGAUCAAUUUGAGAAAAAAAUUACAAGUUCUUUCAUUAAGGCCAGGCACUUUUUCAACCACUCCUGCCAGGAUGAGAUUAAAUCCUGUUUUACACAGGCUCAAGAAGCUGUUGCUAAAGAGAAUCUGACAAGAUUACACAUCACAUGCAGCAGGUUCUCAGUAACAUACACCACUCAAUACAGAGGGCCAUGCACAACUGUGGAAACUAAAUGUCAGUUAAAGCUGGAGAACCUCACUGCUGAGGGUUUACUGAACAAAAAAGUCUGGCUGCAGAAAGAGAAGCCCACAUGUCAUGGUUUGAUAGCAUGUCUAGACCAUCUCAUAAAGCAAUACCUGACCAAAAGCAGUUCUUUAAUUUACUCCUAUAGGUUUAUCAUACAUGCAGACAAAGAAAUAAUCACAAUCACUUCAGGUGAAGAAAAAGAAACAGAAUGUGUUUUGAUGCAUGAUCAUGAAGGGGUCUCCAUGUUUCCUUCAACAUUGCUAUAAAAGUAAUGACAGCACUCCACUGCAACAUAUUCUGCUGAAAUAUCUUCACAUGUAUUUUAAAGACCUGAUUAAAUUAAAUCAUUACAUCAUCUUAUACUUAAUCACAUGUAUUCGUUACUAAUUAUAAAUUAGUUGAAAAUAUUUGCUUUCAAAAAAAUUAAAUCAUACAACGGCAUUACCUUUGGAGUACAAUACAACACACAGUAUGUAGUUCUUUGUUUGUUUGUUUUUGUGGCAAGCAAAUGUUUUUAUAGAUUCACAUUUGCACGUUUUCCUACUUCUGUGUUCACUGACAAAAAUUUAGCAGAUUCUGUCAUUCACUACUCAGAUUAUUGUUGACAUUCUUAACUAUCAUAAAAAUAGACUAUAUGUAAAUAAACAACUUUUUUAUUUGUAGUUCUUUACCCUGCAUGUAUUUUGCCUAGGAUUUUAUUAGUUAAAGUGAUAUUAUGGUGUCAAUGUAAAAAAAAAAUUAAGCA